rnacentral:rRNA from 2 species
UUUGCGUCGAAGGUAUACCGGUAAGGAGUGCUGGAGCGAAUAGAAGUGAGCAUGCAGGCAUGAGUAGCGAUAAUUAAUGUGAGAAUCAUUAACGCCGUAAACCCAAGGUUUCCUACGCGAUGCUCGUCAUCGUAGGGUUAGUCGGGUCCUAAGUCGAGUCCGAAAGGGGUAGACGAUGGCAAAUUGGUUAAUAUUCCAAUACCAACAUUAGUGUGCGAUGGAAGGACGCUUAGGGCUAAGGGGGCUAGCGGAUGGAAGUGCUAGUCUAAGGUCGUAGGAGGUUAUACAGGCAAAUCCGUAUAACAAUACUCCGAGAACUGAAAGGCUUUUUGAAGUCUUCGGAUGGAUAGAAGAACCCCUGAUGCCGUCGAGCCAAGAAAAGUUUCUAAGUUUAGCUAAUGUUGCCCGUACCGUAAACCGACACAGGUGGGUGGGAUGAGUAUUCUAAGGCGCGUGGAAGAACUCUCUUUAAGGAACUCUGCAAAAUAGCACCGUAUCU